AACGAACGCUGGCGGCAUGCCUAACACAUGCAAGUCGAACGAGACCUUCGGGUCUAGUGGCGCACGGGUGCGUAACGCGUGGGAACCUGCCCUUAGGUUCGGAAUAACUCCCCGAAAGGGGUGCUAAUACCGGACAAUGUCUUCGGACCAAAGAUUUAUCGCCUUUGGAUGGGCCCGCGUUGGAUUAGCUAGUUGGUAGGGUAAAAGCCUACCAAGGCGACGAUCCAUAGCUGGUCUGAGAGGAUGAUCAGCCACACUGGGACUGAGACACGGCCCAGACUCCUACGGGAGGCAGCAGUGGGGAAUAUUGGACAAUGGGCGAAAGCCUGAUCCAGCAAUGCCGCGUGAGUGAUGAAGGCCUUAGGGUUGUAAAGCUCUUUUACCCGGGAUGAUAAUGACAGUACCGGGAGAAUAAGCGCCGGCUAACUCCGUG
rnacentral:rRNA from 1 species